rnacentral:rRNA from 1 species
AACGUAGGACACAAGCGUUAUCCGGAGUUACUGGGCGUAAAGGGCGUUUAGGCGGGUGAUUAAGUUCGCUAUGAAAGCGCCCAGGCUAAACCUGGCGAGGCUGGCGGAUACUGGUCAUCUGGAGUAAGGAAGAGGGGAGGUAGAAUUCCGCGUGUAGUGGUGAAAUGCGUAGAGAUGCGGAGGAAUACCAGUGGCGAAGGCGGCCUCCUGGUCCUUAACUGACGCUGAAGCGCGAAAGCAUGGGGAGCGAACGGG